GUGCUCACUUCAGUGGCAUGUAUACUAAAACUGGAAUGAUACAGAGAAGAUUAGCAUGGGUCCUGCAUAUGGAUAACAUGCAAAUUCAUAAAGCAUUCCAUAUUAAA
ensembl:snRNA U6 U6 spliceosomal RNA